GACGAACGCUGGCGGCGUGCCUAACACAUGCAAGUCGAACGGGGCAAUUUCUUCGGAGAUUGCUUAGUGGCGAACGGGUGAGUAACGCGUGAGAAACCUGCCUUUCAGUGGGGGACAACAGUUGGAAACGACUGCUAAUACCGCAUAAGCGCACAGGACCGCAUGGUCUGGUGUGAAAAACUCCGGUGGUAUACGAUGGACCCGCGUCUGAUUAGCUAGUUGGUGAGGUAACGGCCCACCAAGGCGACGAUCAGUAGCCGGCCUGAGAGGGUGAACGGCCACAUUGGGACUGAGACACGGCCCAAAACUCCUACGGGAGGCAGCAGUGGGGAAUAUUGGACAAUGGGGGAAACCCUGAUCCAGCGACGCCGCGUGAGUGAAGAAGGCUUUCGGGUUGUAAACCUCUGUGGACAGGGACGAUAAUGACGGUACCUGUUUAGAAAGCCACGGCUAACUACGUGCCAGCAAGCCGCGGU
rnacentral:rRNA from 1 species